rnacentral:lncRNA from 1 species
CUGCAAUACGCAAAGACGGAAUUGGUUCCCGCCGCGACACUACUCACCAGGGGGCGCGCGUGUACUAGGGGGUUACUCAAUCGCAACUUCUCGGCCAAUUCCGGCUAGGCGCGGAAUCAUUGGCCGAGAAGUUGCGAUUGGGGGGUUACUACCGAUGCCAAGAUGGCGGACGAGUGUUUUCAGAACUGGUCGGUACAGAAGCUGAAUUGGGGAAACGGAGUGCUACUACCCAUGGCAGAAAAAGUGAUUUAGUUGAGAGAUUAAAGGCCUAUGAAAGAAAUAGGAACUUCAGACAAUCUGCUGUUUACCUGCCCGAUGCCAUUUGUGUGUUCGGCCAAUUGUUGGAUUUCAGCAAUUGAUACCAGAUCACAAGAUUAUCCUUCCCAAAUUGACUUGGCUGCAGAUAGAGGAGUACUUCUUGUACAGAUUGACAGAUUACUGAAGAAGGUGCUCGGGAGUUGGGAGACCCAAACCAAAUUCCAAGUGAAAAGUAAAAAUAAAAUGGGUGGAGGAGAGACAGUCGAGGAUUACUGCAUCUAGGUUUGGGGAAGUAACACAUGCCACCUGUCAUUGAAACAUGGGGGAACUUUGUGAGAGUCUUGUUUCAUCUUGGACUCUUAACACAAAAGCCAUUCAGCAUGGACAAAAUUAUGAAAAGAAAGCUUAACCAAAUUUGAACAAACAAUGAUGUUACAUGUGAAGAGGGCUGGACUGUUUGCACACCCGAAGUAUCCAUAUCGGGGGGCUUCACCUGAUGGAAUCAACGAUGAAAAGGCUACACUUGAAAUAAGAUGUCCAUUUGUAGGUUGCACAUCAUUUAUCACAACCAGCAAGAUGUUUCCGUUUCUUAUAUAUGAUGUACUUUGUUGUACAUGUAUAUACAUGUACUUUUGUAGACAUGCUUGUCCAAAAGAUAGAAUUUGACACUGAGUACUGUGAAUUCAGUCCGUUACCCACAUUAAACCUAUAUUUUGUGAAACAUUUCAUGACUUACAUUGCUUCUCAUAUGUAAAAAGGUCAUGGUCAAUAUCCUUGUUACUUUCUAUAGAUUUUUAUUGUCAAUAUUAUCAUAUUUGCUGUAAUUUGUACAAAGGGCACUCAAAAAUUGUUGAAAUGGGGUUCUUAUUCGGGUAAUAAGACGAGCUUAAGCAGAAAAACGUAAUUUCUACUAUAUAUAUAAUCAUGAUCAUUAGAAAAACUGUGACAAGACAGCAUUCAAGUCCCUUGUUUUUUAAAACUUAUUUGUGAGCAUCAAAUCCACGAUCACCAGGCGUAAAUACCUCCUGAAAAAGGAGGAGGGGUACUUAUUGAGUGAGGAGCAUUAAUUAUGGCAAAGAUGGUAUAAGAAAUAUCUUAAUGGUUGACAACUUCAAGAUAUAUAUUCAUUUAAUAUAUACAUGUACGUGUAUCUAAAUUUAUCUUGCAAUAAGCCCAAAUCAAUGUAGUUUGCAGUCACCAAACAUGAAAGUACAUUUUUUAUGUAUUUUACAGUAAAGAUUGCUAAAAGUUUUCUCGACUUGGAGACACAAAUUAAAUUUCAAGCAACCAUUAUAGAAUGAAAGACGAGUGAAUAAGAGAAGGUGGGCUUAUUUAUGUAUAGUGUAGUACAUGUAGUUUAUACUAAUGAAACAAUAUGUCAAGUAUAUUGACAAGGCAUUUUUGUCCACUAAGGGGGCUCUGAAAUUAAGAAGUGAGAAUCAAAUACACUGUAUAAAUAAUUCUUGUUGCAGGAAAAUCCAGUCCAGUACUGGACUGCUUUAGCAAUGUUACAACAGUUAUGAAAGCUUCACAUUCCACAUUCACCAAUGUUAUAUUGGAUCCCUGUACUGACUGCUGUGAUUGAACUAUCCCCAACAAUUUCUUCAGUUUGCAGUUUCAUCAAUAUUGCCUGGUGGCAGCUCCACUUCCUGCUCCAC